rnacentral:lncRNA from 1 species
AAAAAUUCAAAAAUAAAAGAUAUAAAUGAAGAAUAGAAGGUUAAUCAAACGGAGAUAGCACUAAAUCGAAAAAGAAUUAAGUUGGUUGGGCCCUUAAGUGGUCAUUUUUAUAUAAUAAAAUUAAAAGAAAAAAAGAAUACUUAAAAGAUGAAGAAGUUUAUAGAAAUCUUUAAAAAUACUAGCUAGGAUUGACAAAUGAAGGUUUACAAAGGUUGGAAAUUUCCAUUUAAGGUGGUGAUUGAGGGUUCUUCAACCAAAAACUAAGUGUAGCUCGUUUGGUUCUUGGUUUAAUGGAAGUUUUAUGGUUUUUAGUGAGUUUUACUUAAGGUUUCUAUGCAAUUCAGGGUUUUGGCCUUGAGAUGAGAAAAUAAUGAUUUUGUGUAGGUUAGUUAGAUUUACGGCAACAAAGGGUUAAGAUAGGUUUUGGGGUUUAGAAAUUGACUGUUGGAAUUGUACCAUGUCAUUAGUGAGUUGUUUGUCUCAAAAUGACAUAGCACUAAGACAAAAUAAGCUUUACCUCGCUCUGAACUCGCAUUGGUUUUGCCUAAGCUCCUGCGAGCUUGAGCUUGAGCUUGGGUGAGUUCAAUCUGCCAUCUCAGGCAAGAGGAGUCAAAAAGCAUAUCGUUUACUUUACUAAGAAAGUCGGGCCCUCUAUUUGGAAAUAAAAGAAGAAGUGACCUUAGUCGACAAAAGGAUAU